rnacentral:rRNA from 1 species
AUUGAACGCUGGCGGCAGGCCUAACACAUGCAAGUCGAACGGUAACAGGAAGCAGCUUGCUGUUUCGCUGACGAGUGGCGGACGGGUGAGUAAUGUCUGGGAAACUGCCUGAUGGAGGGGGAUAACUACUGGAAACGGUAGCUAAUACCGCAUAACGUCGCAAGACCAAAGAGGGGGACCUUAGGGCCUCUUGCCAUCGGAUGUGCCCAGAUGGGAUUAGCUAGUAGGUGGGGUAACGGCUCACCUAGGCGACGAUCCCUAGCUGGUCUGAGAGGAUGACCAGCCACACUGGAACUGAGACACGGUCCAGACUCCUACGGGAGGCAGCAGUGGGGAAUAUUGCACAAUGGGCGCAAGCCUGAUGCAGCCAUGCCGCGUGUAUGAAGAAGGCCUUCGGGUUGUAAAGUACUUUCAGCGGGGAGGAAGGGAGUAAAGUUAAUACCUUUGCUCAUUGACGUUACCCGCAGAAGAAGCACCGGCUAACUCCGUG